CGGGGUGUAGCUCAGUUUGGUAGAGUGCUUGGUUCGGGACCAAGAGGCCGCGAGUUCAAGUCUCGCCACUCCGACCA
rnacentral:tRNA from 1 species